UACGUAGGGUGCGAGCGUUUAAUCGGAAUUACUGGGCGUAAAGCGUGCGCAGGCGGUUUUGUAAGCCAGAUGUGAAAUCCCCGGGCUUUAACCUGGGAAUGGCAUUUGGGACUGCAAGGCUCGAGUGCGGCAGAGGAGACUGGAAUUCCUGGUGUAGCAGUGAAAUGCGUAGAUAUCAGGAGGAACACCGAUGGCGAAGGCAGGUCUCUGGGCUGACACUGACGCUCAUGCACGAAAGCGUGGGGAGCAAACAGG
rnacentral:rRNA from 1 species